UAUUGACUGGUUGAAGGUUGAGGACCCUC
rnacentral:sRNA from 1 species